UAUAAAAGAGGUACAUAAUCCUAAUCAUUCGUGGGAGAGACUUCUCACCUCUCACAUGUUCUGGUUCUGAGUCAAAUCAAUUCUUUCAAGAAAUUCCACUUAGAAAUUAGACUGAAAAAAAAACAACAAGCAAUCCUUAUUUUAUACACCUUUUUACCAAUUUUUUAUUGUUGACAAUUACAUUUUCUUUGACCGAAAACUUUUGUUUCUCUUCAAUCACUCACUAGAAAAAACCACAUUAUGUAACAUUCAGAGGCUUUUAUGCUUUUCAAAGGUGUUAAACUCUCUUGCAAAUUAGCUAUUGUUAAUGCUUAGACUCACAUGUUCGCAGUUAUUGCAAUACAAAUGAUCCUUCAGCCAUCCUCUGUGGAUCCACCACCGCGACUCCGUCAAGAGUCACGACCUUCAAUCUGAACCGUAACCACUAUCAUUAGUACCUGCUAUUUGUUUUUUUGUUUUUGUCUUUGUUUUCAGGAAACAUCAUACAAGUUCAAAAUCAACAACAACAGAGCUUAGCAGCAUAAACACAUUCAAAGGGUGAGUUUAAAAUCGACUUCCGCCGUGAAGCUCAAAAUUCACCCACGGAUCCAACCUCACCUGCGCGAGACAUCAUCACUAAUCACCACGAUACUGAACAAACAUCAUCGAGUCCACAUCAUCGUCACCGUUCAACUUCAAUCGCAACGAUACCAUUUCAUCUGCUCAGCGGCAACAUUGACGCGAUAGCUUCGACAAUACCAGAUCCGGAAGCCGCAUCAAUACUCACUAGUUUGCAAACCGAAGUGGAUCCGGGCACCUACCGCCGCCAGAAACAACCACACGUGAUCCUUCAUCAACGAUGACCGCAACACUUGCCGAAUCAGAUCCAAAACCGCCUCAAGCUUACGCCGCCAACUGCUCUGAUAUCGCAUACCCUCGGCCCGAUCGGCGACCACAUUCGACUGCAUCCUGGAAUUGCCAAAAUCACUGUGUCGGGUUUGGACCUGGUGAUCAGAUACACAAACACUUUUAACAUGAUUGCUGACACUUGUCCAACGGCACCUAAAAAUCAAGAAUACCUAAAGGUAUAUGCAAGGUUGUUAAAAUUGUGAUAUAAAAUCUAAAUUCUAUAGAUUUUACGUUUCUAGGUUUGCUUUUCGUGUUAAAUCAAAGGUAAAAAGCUCUUUUAUGAAAAAUUGUAUUCUGGGAUGAUUUUAAUGAUUUCAAUCACUUUGAAAUAUGUGAAAUCGUGUAAAAUAGUUUAAAAUCGUUUGAUUCUACUCUUAAACCUGAUUUUAUUUUUUUUAGUCAAACUUUAAAAAGGUUAUUUUAUAAUUUAGCCCAUGAAAACUUCUUACACGCUUUUUCCUCUUACUCAGUUUCAUAUAUUGGUUUUAUUAUUGAAGAACUUUUAUUAUCUAGAGAUGAAUUUAAUCAAGUUAAAUAUGUGCGCGUGCAUGCGUGUGCGUGCGUGUGCGCGCUUAUGUGCAUUUGGUCAGUGUAUCGGGUAUAUAAAUUUUAUAUUAUUUUCACAUGAGAUAAACUUUAUGAUUUUAUACUUUUAUUUUACGUUUUGAUUUUACCUAGGAAAAAUAAGUCAAGGUAAAAACUCGAUUCUGACAACCUUGGGUAUAUGCAUUUCAUCCAAACGGAACAUUACAUUGUUAUGUCAGGUAAAUAUUCCAUCUUAUGGUAGUCCUCAUUUUUUAUUUAGAAAACGGGUGAGAAGGCUUAUGUAUGCAUAAUAGUUGAAACAAAUGCCUACAUGAGUAUGAAAAAAAAAUGCAAAAAGCCUUGCAUGUCGUGCUUGCAGGGAUCAAAAAUUGGUCAUGGUGUCGUUCGUAAGUUAUUUAAUUUACUAAAUCCAAGUGUUUUAGUUAAAAAAAAUUGUUGAGUAGUGAUAAACAUUCCAUUAUGUACUAGGGUUCUCCUGUAUAAUCUCUAAAUUCAGUUGAUUAUAACCAUCUCUGUUUUAUGGACGCUUGUAUGGGUUAUAAUGUUCAGAUAAUACCUUAUUACAAUUUCUUUACCUUCAUAGUUUUAGUUUCAAUUUAGUAUUUAAUAUUUAUGCAAACCUUUUUAUUUACCCUGGCAGUGGUGAUAAAGUUUUCAGGUUAGAAAUCACAAGCCACAUGAAGCUUGGUUUCAAGGAGGGUUGUGAAUAUGAACUAGUGGCUCCAUGGACCCAAGAAUAUGGGGAAUUCCUAACAUUUGAACCAAUAUAAGAUGCAUGUCAUUGAUCUAGAGCUUUUCAACCGGAGAGAACACUUGUGAUGUGGAAGGUAUUUUUUUAAGGAAAACCACUUCCAAAGAGACCCCUCUUUCAUUAUAAAUAUUUAUAUUAAUACAAAAAGUGUUUUAUAAAUAUGUGUCAUUAUAUUUUUUAUUUGAAUACAUUUUUUGUGAUUUUAAUGAAGUGGACAGUGACUCAUGAUGUUUGUUUGGUAUAUAGUAAGAUGAAUAUUAAACAUUUGAAAAAGAUAAAGCUAAUGCAAUCUGUAAUUUUAUAUAAAUAUCAAACAUUUUAUAAUAUGUUGUUCCCCACUUCAAAACUGUCAUAUUUACCAUACAAGUUUCAUACAAGCUUCACUAGUUUUUUGUUCCCACCACUUCAAAACUGUCAUAUUCACCAUACAAGUUUGAUAGAAGCUUCAUGUUAAACACAACCCUUCACUGGAUUAAGCUUUUUUAUUAAAUGAUAUUGGAUUUUUUAUUAUACAAGCGCACAUGCUCUAUCAUGAUUCUCCUACUGGAGUUGGCUUCUUCUGUUUCGCCAAAACUUCUAAUUAUUUGUCUAUGAUUGAUGAAAUUAUGAGUAAUUUAUUUUUUAACACUUCUGAUUAU